GCACUCUUCGGUUACACACGACACGCCGCAGCACGUUAGGCAUAGAAAAUGCCUUGGAUCGUCUACGCCCUAAUCCGGCAGAAAAACCUGCCGCUUUAUACGUUUCACUAGCAUCAUCGGUAAUGUUAAAAGGAAGAAAGUUCUGACCGACUUUUUACACACUGCAGACUUCGCGAACAUUAACAGUUCGGAAAUGGUUCCGUACUACAUGACUGCCAGCGUGGCAUUAAUUACGUCACUACCCGUGAGGCUACAUGGACAACGCUCAUUGGUUGAUCUUACGGCAGUCAAUAGACGUUGUGCAGUGUCAGACGCACAUGCGCUUCGAGAUAUGAGUUAUUCGAAUAAUGGGCCUGCACACCAAAGGCAGCAGGCAUCAAGCAGCAAAGCAACGACCAAUAGGGAAAGAGCAUCGAGCUAUUGAUGACAUAACUCAAACUCAAAGGUUUUUGCUCAUUGGUCACUGUCCUACUGUUCGCUGCCCGCUGUGGAUUCGACCAAAUUGCAAAUUGAGACAAUGUCUGAGGAUUCGCAAGAAAACGUAAAUUAUGUCUCCUAGAGGUUUGAAUUGAAUUAAACAUUAAAUUACAAGGUCUGUAGCAGCUGGAGUACAAUUAAAACCUGAAGAACCUAAUACUAGUAAGGCAAUUAAAACGUGGAUUAAACAAGAUCUUGAGAUUCAAAUUUUUACAGGUUUAAAUAACGGAAGAAUUGAAAGGGAAAUGCGUACAGUUGUUGAAUCAGCCCUAUCUGCUAUACAUGUGCGAGACUCCAAUGAAAACUUGUGGGCUGCAGCUGUUGCAACUAGGAUCUAUGCAGUUUUCACCAUAAAUCAGACUGGAACAAGUUCACUAGGUGAUCGACCGUCACAAUGGGCGAUGAUUCUUAAGAAACGAUGCAUUUGUUCUUUGCGAGCGACAUAACGGUCGCCUGAGUGUCGCAUAUCAGUCGGCUGUCACCGACGCGACUGGCAUCCUGAGUCGGUUGUCUUCUACCAAAAAAUGAUUAAAGCAGCAUCGUCGCGCGCGGCGUGCGACUGCGACACCACUGUGGAUCUGCAGGACAGUUCUACGAGGGUGAAGCGCAUUAUUGUGAUUCCACAAUCCGUAAACUUGUGAGUUUUACUUCAAAUGGACUAGGGUUACUGGAGCCACAUCUUCUCAUGGAAAGAUGAAAAUAUCUCGUGGAACAAAACACACCAACGACGAUUCACGAGACCCGUGGCCGAUCUAGAACGUCGAGCAUCGGACAUUACGUGGCCUUAGUAAAAGGACAACGGGAUUGUGGGAAUGUCGUAAAGGUGGGCGCAAGGAAGUGCAGAAGCUGUCGCUCUCUUACGUACGGUCGAUUCGCGCAAACCCAACUCUUCUGAUUUACACCAAAAUUGAGGAUUCGGCUAGAGUAGUGUCGUUGGAAGAGAGAAAUUCUCACUUAGAAAUCAGUAGUACAAUAUUUUUAAAACUAUUGGUGAAAAAUAACAUCAACGAAAAAUACUUAAGAUUCCCAGUGAUACAGAGCAAAAGCUUAAUAACAAACAUAUAGUUUUAGGAUACUAUUAGUAC